AACGAACGCUGGCGGCAGGCUUAACACAUGCAAGUCGAACGCACCUUUCGGGGUGAGUGGCAGACGGGUGAGUAACGCGUGGGAAUCUACCCUUCUCUACGGGAUAGCUCCGGGAAACUGGAAUUAAUACCGUAUACGUCCUGAGGGAGAAAGAUUUAUCGGGGAAGGAUGAGCCCGCGUUGGAUUAGCUAGUUGGUGGGGUAAAGGCCUACCAAGGCGACGAUCCAUAGCUGGUCUAAGAGGAUGAUCAGCCACAUUGGGACUGAGACACGGCCCAAACUCCUACGGGAGGCAGCAGUGGGGAAUAUUGGACAAUGGGCGCAAGCCUGAUCCAGCCAUGCCGCGUGAGUGAUGAAGGCCCUAGGGUUGUAAAGCUCUUUCAGUGGGGACGAUAAUGACGGUACCCACAGAAGAAGCCCCGGCCAACUUCGUGCCAGCCGCCGCCGUAA
rnacentral:rRNA from 1 species